GCUGACUUCUCUACACAGGCUUCUCAAGGUGCAUAUGCUGUUGAUUAUUCAACUCAAGGAGCACAGGCUGGGUUUCCAGGGAAUUUUUUAAACCAGAACUCUCAAUCUGGAUACUCCCGUUUUGGUUCAGGAAAUGAAUUCAUGUCUCAGGAUUAUAUGGCUCAUGGUUCGCAAGGUCUAUUUACGCAAGCUGGAUAUAAUGAUCCAUUACAAGAUGAUGGUUCACAGAAUCAUUUUGGCAUGUCCAAUGUUAAUUCUCUUCAGUCUCAGAGUUUACUCAAUCCAAUUUAUUCCCAGCCAUUUGCGCACUACAAUACACAGCCAUUGAACUUGCAAAGUUCUCAGCCUCAACAGCAGCAAGGGCCACAAGGCCAGGGCUUCCAAAAUCAGAAACUCCAGUACAAUAGUUGAAGACGGCAUGGUUGUUAUAUGAUGAUUGAUGGGUUAUAGUUUUGCAUCCAGCAAUUUGGUUUGUGCUGUCAACAUGUGACCGUCUUAUCUGACCUUAUGAUGAGGUAAAAGAGUUUGUCAAUAAUUCAGGUCAGUUGGUGACAUAUUCCUUGCCAAUAAUCUUGAAUGUCGAGUCAGAGGGCUGACAUGAUGGAAGUCUUCUUCUCUGGUCAAGGUAACCAAGCACAGGACAUCCGGUGCUGAGAAAGAACAAAUAACCCAUGUUAUCUUCGUGAAGUUUUACGUACUGUUUGAAAAGAAGGUAUACUGUUUCUCCAUGAGAGAAAGGUUACAUGGUGUGGUAUUGAGCCAGAAGGGUGGGUUUUAUUCAGGACACGGAGGUUGUUACUCGCGAAUUAUAAGGAGUACAUCAUUGUUUGAAGCUGCGAUCAUAUCUUUUGUACAGUGUCCAGGCAAAAUCCAGCUAACCCUUUCAGCUCGUCCUGACAUGUAAUUAUACUCUCUAGUUAUUAGUAUUGCAGGGAUGAUGAUGAUAGAUGUGUUUGUUAUUGCAUCACUUAUACGUUAUUGGGUACAUAAACAUGCAGGGUUUUGGUCUUUUAUUUGAAUUGGGUUGCUUGUAAUCCCAGUAUCAUUUUUGUGGAUGUCUUACGCGAUGCAUUUUGCUCGUCAAUGAUGGAAUAAUUUACGAGUACGUAAGCACUGCAUGUGUUCU
rnacentral:misc_RNA from 1 species